GCUGACAUAAGUAACGAUAAAGCGGGUGAAAAGCCCGCUCGCCGGAAGACCAAGGGUUCCUGUCCAACGUUAAUCGGGGCAGGGUGAGUCGACCCCUAAGGCGAGGCCGAAAGGCGUAGUCGAUGGGAAACAGGUUAAUAUUCCUGUACUUGGUGUUACUGCGAAGGGGGGACGGAGAAGGCUAUGUUGGCCGGGCGACGGUUGUCCCGGUUUAAGCGUGUAGGCUGGUUUUCCAGGCAAAUCCGGAAAAUCAAGGCUGAGGCGUGAUGACGAGGCACUACGGUGCUGAAGCAACAAAUGCCCUGCUUCCAGGAAAAGCCUCUAAGCAUCAGGUAACAUCAAAUCGUACCCCAAACCGACACAGGUGGUCAGGUAGAGAAUACCAAGGCGCUUGAGAGAACUCGGGUGAAGGAACUAGGCAAAAUGGUGCCGUAACUUCGGGAGAAGGCACGCUGAUAUGUAGGUGAAGCGACUUGCUCGUGGAGCUGAAAUCAGUCGAAGAUACCAGCUGGCUGCAACUGUUUAUUAAAAACACAGCACUGUGCAAACACGAAAGUGGACGUAUACGGUGUGACGCCUGCCCGGUGCCGGAAGGUUAAUUGAUGGGGUUAGCGGUAACGCGAAGCUCUUGAUCGAAGCCCCGGUAAACGGCGGCCGUAACUAUAACGGUCCUAAGGUAGCGAAAUUCCUUGUCGGGUAAGUUCCGACCUGCACGAAUGGCGUAAUGAUGGCCAGGCUGUCUCCACCCGAGACUCAGUGAAAUUGAACUCGCUGUGAAGAUGCAGUGUACCCGCGGCAAGACGGAAAGACCCCGUGAACCUUUACUAUAGCUUGACACUGAACAUUGAGCCUUGAUGUGUAGGAUAGGUGGGAGGCUUUGAAGUGUGGACGCCAGUCUGCAUGGAGCCGGCCUUGAAAUACCACCCUUUAAUGUUUGAUGUUCUAACGUUGGCCCCUAAUCGGGGUUGCGGACAGUGUCUGGUGGGUAGUUUGACUGGGGCGGUCUCCUCCUAAAGAGUAACGGAGGAGCACGAAGGUUGGCUAAUCCUGGUCGGACAUCAGGAGGUUAGUGCAAUGGCAUAAGCCAGCUUGACUGCGAGCGUGACGGCGCGAGCAGGUGCGAAAGCAGGUCAUAGUGAUCCGGUGGUUCUGAAUGGAAGGGCCAUCGCUCAACGGAUAAAAGGUACUCCGGGGAUAACAGGCUGAUACCGCCCAAGAGUUCAUAUCGACGGCGGUGUUUGGCACCUCGAUGUCGGCUCAUCACAUCCUGGGGCUGAAGUAGGUCCCAAGGGUAUGGCUGUUCGCCAUUUAAAGUGGUACGCGAGCUGGGUUUAGAACGUCGUGAGACAGUUCGGUCCCUAUCUGCCGUGGGCGCUGGAGAACUGAGGGGGGCUGCUCCUAGUACGAGAGGACCGGAGUGGACGCAUCACUGGUGUUCGGGUUGUCAUGCCAAUGGCACUGCCCGGUAGCUAAAUGCGGAAGAGAUAAGUGCUGAAAGCAUCUAAGCACGAAACUUGCCCCGAGAUGAGUUCUCCCUGACUCCUUGAGAGUCCUGAAGGAACGUUGAAGACGACGACGUUGAUAGGCCGGGUGUGUAAGCGCAGCGAUGCGUUGAGCUAACCGGUACUAAUGAGCCGUGAGGCUUAACCUU
rnacentral:rRNA from 1 species